rnacentral:rRNA from 1 species
UGAGGAAUAUUGGUCAAUGGGCGAGAGCCUGAACCAGCCACGUCGCGUGAAGGAAGACUGACCUUACGGUUUGUAAACUUCUUUUGUAGAGGGGUAAUGGCAGAUACGUGUAUUUGCGUGAAAGUACUCUACGAAUAAGCAUCGGCUAACUCCGUGCCAGCAGCCGCGGUAAUACGGGGGAUGCGAGCGUUAUCCGGAAUUAUUGGGUUUAAAGGGUGCGCAGGUGGCUAAUCAGGUCAGUGGUGAAAAGCUAUGGCUCAACCAUGGUCUUGCCAUUGAAACCGUAUAGCUAGAGAGGAGACGAGGUAGGCGGAAUGUGUGGUGUAGCGGUGAAAUGCAUGGAUAUCACACAGAACUCCGAUUGCGAAGGCAGCUUACCAGGCUUUAUCUGACACUUAGGCACGACAGCGUGGGGAUCAAACAGG